AGCCUAGUUUAACGUUUAAUCAUUCAAGCACAAGCUGAAGUCAAGCACUGGAAAGUCAGCGGAACGAUUGGAUAUUGUCGACAGAUUUCGGAAAGAAGCAUUGGAGGGAUUCAGGUGAGACAUUGGAUGUCGUAUAUAGGUGAACGAUUGGUAUACGCUUCUUUCAACGGAGGUCAUUCAAUAUAUUACGAAAAUAGGAGACAGCAGAAGUGUUGCGCUCAGUGGUUCCAAAGUGUACACCGGGUGAUGUUCACAUAAAGACAACUGUCAAGACAGAAAUUUUGCAUGUAGCUUUUUAUAAUAUAUUUUUUAAUAAGAUUCCAGGUGCUUGAUCAUAUUGAGAUAAAUAGUUACCUGCUGUGACACAUGCUUACAGGCACAGUACCUUCAACGUGACCACAGGAUUGUCCUACACUGCACAGUCUCUGAUGCUCGGGCGCCAAACGUUCUAGGUUUUUAAAAAGGGUAACCUCGCUUCAUCUGUAUCAACUACAUCAAUUCGCACGGAUAUAAUUCAAGCGUAUAACUAACUCGAAAUUAGUUUCUCGGACUGAAUCGUUUUGAAGCCUUGAUGAAAAGCGGAUGAUCAAAACGCGGUCUUAUUUUCCGAUGUCUUCGUAGCAGAAGGUUCAGAACGCAGGGCGUGAUACAGAGCUAACUGGCUUGCUGUCAAGUGAUGGAACGUUCCAAGGACGUCUAACAGUCUAAUGUCAUUAUCUGUGUCAACAUAGCCUGUGAUAGAAUAUCCUUCUCACACAUUCAGUUUUGUCAAACUCAACUUUCCCGAUAGUCGUGUGAAAUUCAGGAUUUGCCAUGUGGCUGGGGGAUUGUUUUGUGAGAUGUUGUGGAGCCUUGAAUGGCAUCCCAGCUCGGAUCUUUUGCAUUCUGCUUCUACUCGCCCAAGGAGGGAUUCUGGAUUAUUUCUUGGCCAAACAUCAGACCCAAGCCAGCUGGGCAUGGAUAGCAUUCGACCUUGUCAACGUCGGCCUCUUCAUCGCCUCCUUCGUCAUAUCACGACGACACCUUGCACUACAGAAAGCUGGGGACGAGCAAAGUAAAGCGGUCACAAUUGGUUGGUUGGCAUGGCUUGUGUACUCGGUAAGCCUAGUAGCAAGGAUGGCCAUAGCGUUCAACAAAUUCUCCUUUAGGUUAAGCGAAGACACAUUCUUUGGCCCCAAUACAUUAAAGACGUCGCUAGCCUUGGCGUCGUGUGUCUUCAUCUUGCUGUUGAUGUCCCAUCAUGACGCUCCUGCCGCUAGCGAACGCAGGCGAUACAUUGAAGACCUUACUGGAACCGUUGUCUUCGACGUGUUGGACACCGUGGAUGUCUUAGAGGUGAUGUUCGACAAGACAUCAAGGGACAUGUUCCUGCCAGGACUUCAGCAAACUGUUUUAGCGGUGGCAGGUCUCAAUCUCAUUAUUCCAACAGUGCCCUUGAUCACACUCAGCCUAACCAACUUCGGAUACAAGAAGAUGCCGAAACGUCUUGUGGCGCUACACAAGUUACUUGUGGUACUGGUGGUGAAUGUUCCCAAUCUGCUUGUUCGGUUAGUUCUCUGGCAUGGCUUCAGUGUAGGAAUCUCUCCCUUUAUGCUCAAAAACCUCAUCCUCAUCUGCAUCGUCAUGUACGAGUUUUACGAACACAAGAAGAUGAAAUAUGACGAACACGCCGAGGAGAUUGAAAUGAGAAAGAAAGGUUUACGGGGCACUGCUAAUCCUGCUGCUGUAAAUGGACAAAGUGGCUUAACAGAAUUCUCGAUGCAAGAACGUAUUUAAAUCUAAUAUAUCAUUUCACAUUGCUCAUUGAAAUCGCCGUGAAGAAUCCUAUUGAAUACCAGUGCCGCAAUGGCUGUCCUGUUGCUUUGCCUUUACGUUAAAGUGAGUGAGUGAGUGAGUUACUAUUUAACGUCACAUCGGCAAUAUCUCAGCCAUAUCGUGACGAAACAAUCCAUACAAGCUUUACGUUAAAGGAUUAUUGAACAUUGAAAGAAGUUGGAAGGUGAGUGUAAAUAGGCUCUCAGAAAAUGUUUGCUAGUAUAUAUCUACAGGAAGGUUUAUAUUAUCACGGACAUACAGACUUUAUGUACGAGCUCACUUAGGUACUUGCUUUCACUGGUUUUCGAGUUCUGUUUCCAUGGCUCUCUUUAUUGUCCCAUUUUCAGCCUGUCACUGUCAGGCGGGCCAAAUUUUGAAAAACGUGUUCCAGAGUCUUUGAGAGAUAACACUAUGUGAAUGUAAUCCUCGAUUAUACCGUGUGAUAUGUCUCCAAAAGUGCUUAUACAUGUGUUUAGGUGGACUGGAUUCUGUACUUUGGCCAUUCGAGUUCAUUAAUCCUUUAGUUUUGUUAAAAUUAUUUUUCUGAAUGCGUUAGAGAAAACUUUAUUCCUUGUAGCCCACCACCCCGACUGUAUGAAGGUAUGACAUGCUUGAAAAAAUGUCGAAUUGAAAUAUUUGUCCUGCAUAUUGAAACAAGAGGGAAUACAUGUAUGCCGAAUGGCACAAGACGCUCGCAGUCAAUUCAUGAACAACUAUGUUACUCCGGGUCAAGCCGAAUGUAGGUUACGGAACGGGUCGAGUAGUGGCGAAUGUCACAGUCUGUCAAGUAGUAGUGAUAUAAUCUGCUUGUCAUAUGACUUAGUGGCUAAUUUUAGCAUUGGGUUACUCGAGUCGGACUCACUACGGGGCGAUGUUGGCGAAUGACUUGAGUCCAGGGUAUUUCUCGCAAUAGUAUUCAGAUAUAACUGACCAUGUAUAUAUGUUCGUCAUGUAUUUGUUUUCGGAGGUAAAUCUAUGAUAGUUUCGAUCUUUGCGCAUAUCCAGUGAUAAGUCUGAUUUGAACUAUCUGUUGCAAUCACUGCAUAUGUAUAGGCCUUUACUUUCAUGACAAUUAGAAAUAUCAUAAAAUUCAUAAACCAUAAAUCCUACAUGACCACCACGUGACCUUGUUGCAAUAUGUAACAACAAAUCAUGUGUAAUCAUAACCAAUAGUAAAUAUGUUACGACCAACAUGCGAGACAUAACAACAUAUGAUAUGGAUGUACAACUUCUUCAUAAUAUUUACAACACGACGUUCCUUCAGCAGGUGAUGAAUAUGUGCUUUUUCCGCCACCUUUUAUUGGCCCAGUCGUCACGUGUUACGAACGUCACAAAAUGUUCUAGAUACUGUCCUUAUGUUUUAUGUAACAUGCGUAUGUUAUGUUAUGUCAUAUUUAGGAUCAUGUAUCUGACAUACAUAUUUUUACUCACAAUGAAAUUGAUUUAGCUUUGCCCAAUGUAUGUGUUCGUAAAGAGAGAGAGACUUUUACAUGGCGGUGUUAUGAAUAAUAUACAGUUUGUAGUAUGGAUCGUGUUUAUUGUCGCAUUCAGCGCACACACACACACGCACACAGACAGAGACACACAGAGAGAAAGACAGACACAUAGACAGACAGACACACAGAGAGACAGACACAGACACAACAACAACAACAACACACACACACGUGCAUUCAAACAUGGACAGACACAUUUUUGUUAUGUGUGUGUUCUUUAACGCCGCACUCAACCAUAUUUAGCCUUCCCUAAUCUAA
rnacentral:misc_RNA from 1 species